GGGGAAUAUUGCACAAUGGGCGCAAGCCUGAUGCAGCCAUGCCGCGUGUGUGAAGAAGGCCUUCGGGUUGUAAAGCACUUUCAGCGGGGAGGAAGGCGAUACGGUUAAUAACCGUGUUGAUUGACGUUACCCGCAGAAGAAGCACCGGCUAACUCCGUGCCAGCAGCCGCGGUAAUACGGAGGGUGCAAGCGUUAAUCGGAAUUACUGGGCGUAAAGCGCACGCAGGCGGUCUGUCAAGUCGGAUGUGAAACCCCCGGGCUCAACCUGGGAACUGCAUUCGAAACUGGCAGGCUAGAGUCUUGUAGAGGGGGGUAGAAUUCCAGGUGUAGCGGUGAAAUGCGUAGAGAUCUGGAGGAAUACCGGUGGCGAAGGCGGCCCCCUGGACAAAGACUGACGCUCAGGUGCGAAAGCGUGGGGAGCAAGC
rnacentral:rRNA from 1 species